UACAUUUAGGCUCUGUGGUUAAGAGA
rnacentral:piRNA from 1 species